GACGAACGCUGGCGGCGUGCUUAACACAUGCAAGUCGAACGGAAAGGCCCUGCUUUUGUGGGGUGCUCGAGUGGCCAACGGGUGAGUAACACGUGAGUAACCUGCCCUUGACUUUGGGAUAACUUCAGGAAACUGGGGCUAAUACCGGAUAGGAGCUCCUGCUGCAUGGUGGGGGUUGGAAAGUUUCGGCGGUUGGGGAUGGACUCGCGGCUUAUCAGCUUGUUGGUGGGGUAGUGGCUUACCAAGGCUUUGACGGGUAGCCGGCCUGAGAGGGUGACCGGCCACAUUGGGACUGAGAUACGGCCCAGACUCCUACGGGAGGCAGCAGUGGGGAAUAUUGCACAAUGGGCGGAAGCCUGAUGCAGCAACGCCGCGUGCGGGAUGACGGCCUUCGGGUGGUAAACCGCUUUCGCCUGUGACGAAGCGUGAGUGACGGUAAUGGGUAAAGAAGCACCGGCUAACUACGU
rnacentral:rRNA from 1 species